GUCGAACGAAGCACUUUAUUCAGAAUUCUUCGGAAGGAAGAAUGUUGUGACUGAGUGGCGGACGGGUGAGUAACGCGUGGAUAACCUGCCUCAUACAGGGGGAUAACAGUUAGAAAUGACUGCUAAUACCGCAUAAGCGCACAGUACCGCAUGGUACGGUGUGAAAAACUCCGGUGGUAUGAGAUGGAUCCGCGGCUUAUUAGCUAGUUGGUGGGGUAAUGGCCCACCAAAGCGACGAUCAGUAGCUGGUCUGAGGGGACAACCAGCCACACUGGGACUGAGACACGGCCCAGACUCCUACGGGAGGCAGCAGUGAGGAAUUUUCCGCAAUGGGCGAAAGCCUGACGGAGCAAUACCGCGUGAGGGAGGAAAGCCUUCGGGUUGUAAACCUCUUUUCUCAGGGAAUAACAAAAUGAAGGUACUUGAGGAAUCAGCAUCGGCUAACUCCGUGCCAGCAGCCGCCGUAACAC
rnacentral:rRNA from 1 species